UACGUAGGGUGCUAGCGUUGUUCGGAAUCACUGGGCGUAAAGGGAGUGUAGGCGGGAUCGUAAGUUAGGAGUUUAAUGCAUGGGCUUAACCCAUGAUCUGCUUUUAAUACUGCGGUUCUUGAGUAUGGGAGAGGGCGAUGGAAUUCCAGGUGUAGCGGUGGAAUGCGUAGAUAUCUGGAAGAACACCAGUAGCGAAGGCGGUCGCCUGGCCCAAUACUGACGCUGAUGCUCGAAAGCUAGGGGAGCAAACAGG
rnacentral:rRNA from 1 species